UACAGAGGGGGCAAGCGUUGUUCGGAAUUACUGGGUGUAAAGGGUUCGUAGGCGGUGUGGCAAGUCGGGAGUGAAAUCUCUGAGCUUAACUCAGGGCCUGCUUCCGAAACUGCUGUGCUAGAGUGUGGGAGAGGCGCGUGGAAUUGCAGGUGUAGCGGUGAAAUGCGUAGAUAUCUGCAGGAACACCCGUGGCGAAAGCGGCGCGCUGGACCACUACUGACGCUGAGGAACGAAAGCUAGGGGAGCAAACAGG
rnacentral:rRNA from 1 species